UACAGGGGGGGCAAGCGUUGUUCGGAAUUACUGGGCGUAAAGGGCUCGUAGGCGGCCAACUAAGUCCGACGUGAAAUCCCAAAGCUUAACUUUGGAACUGCGUCGGAUACUGGAUGGCUUGAAUUCGGGAGAGGGAUGCAGAAUUCCAGGUGCAGCGGUGAAAUGCGUAGAUAUCAGGAGGAACACCUGUGGUGUAGACGGCUUUCUGGACCAUAGCUGACGCUGAGACACGAAAGCGUGGGUAGCAAACAGG
rnacentral:rRNA from 1 species